rnacentral:sRNA from 1 species
GUAACUGGGACUACAGGCGCCCGCCACCUCGCCUGGCUAAUUUUUUGUAUUUUUGGUAGAGACGGGGUUUCACCGUGUUAGCCAGGAUGGUCUUGAUCUCCUGACCUCGUGAUCCGCCUGCCUCGGCCUCCCAAAGUGCUGGGAUUACAGGCGUGAGCCACCGCGCCCCGGCAGCAAAGGGACCAUUAAAAAUCUUUAAUUGUGCCAGAUGUCUCUGACUACCGAGUCAACAUUCACUGAUUGAGCCAUGAAGAUUGAGGUUUUUCUUUCGUUUAAAGAUGACACACUCUGAAAUUAAUUUGAUUUUGAGAUUUGAGAACUUGGACAUACAUACUUCCUAUGGAAGGAGUCAUGCUAUACUGAAAAGACACUUGAUCAAGAGAACUCUGGGAGA